rnacentral:rRNA from 1 species
AUCCUGGCUCAGAAUCAACGCUGGCGGCGCGCUUAACACAUGCAAGUCGCACGAGAAAGUCCGCAAGGAUGAGUACAGUGGCGCACGGGUGAGUAACACGUGGAUGAUCCGCCCUCUAGUGGGGAAUAACCCUGGGAAACCGGGGCUAAUACCGCAUAAGUCCGGGAGGAGAAAGCCGAAAGGCGCUGGAGGAGGAGUCCGCGGUCGAUUAGCUGGUUGGCGGGGUAAAGGCCCACCAAGGCGACGAUCGAUAGCCGGCCUGAGAGGGCACACGGCCACACUGGCACUGAAACACGGGCCAGACUCCUACGGGAGGCA